rnacentral:pre_miRNA from 1 species
UAAACACGGAUUAUGACCUGGGUUUGGAUUUAUUGAUUUAGUAUUUCACACCGUGUUUCACAAAAAUUGAAUAAAUCCAAACCCAGGCUACAAUCCGUGUU